CACGUAGGGCGCAAGCGUUGUCCGGAUUUAUUGGGCGUAAAGAGCGUGUAGGCGGCCUGACAGGUCUGCUGUGAAAACUCGAGGCUCAACCUCGAGAUGUCGGCGGAAACCGUCUGGCUAGAGUCCGGAAGAGGAGAGUGGAAUUCCUGGUGUAGCGGUGAAAUGCGCAGAUAUCAGGAGGAACACCCGUGGCGAAAGCGGCUCUCUGGGACGGUACUGACGCUGAGACGCGAAAGCGUGGGGAGCAAACAGG
rnacentral:rRNA from 1 species